CUUUCACCUUCUCUCUUGCAUUCUAGAAUCUCCAAUGAAAGCUACUUCUUUGUGACAAAUCUAUUACAAAUGGGUGUUUGUAAUGUGUAGAACAUCAGAUGUUCAAACAAGCUGUGCUUUUUCAUCUAUUACAUGUACUUGAUAGCACCAUCUACUCUGCUACCUAGAAGUUUCAGGGAACCUUUGAUGGCGUCUACCUGGGAGACUGCGCUUCGUCCUUGACACAGCUUCUGCUGCAGAGUCCUGACCUCCAGGUUCCAAAAUGAUCCUAAAGAUGCUGCCGUCUCCCAAACCAGAAUUCCAGUUGUUGGCAGGAUUCACCAUUGAGUUUAGAAAACUACAGGCUUACAGAUCCCCAUCAACCAACUUUAUCCUUGCCUAAUUUACCCAUCUCUGUAUGAUUGUACUUGAGUCAAGUCCAUUUAAGUGAAUAUAGUCAAUUCUAUCUAAAGGAAUACAGCCUGUUAGCGCCAACAUGGUAGCUGAAUAUGUAUCUGGUUUUAAUGCCUGUCAUCACUCUAUUGUUACCCAGAUGAGGAAAGGGAGAAUAUGAGCCUCAAGACCUACAGACCUUGUCUAUUAAAGCCAGGGUCUCAAGCCAGUCUGAACACAUAAGAAGAGCCACGGAUUUACUUUCUACAGCCAGGAAAAGGCAUUUCACCCCCGAAAAGGGAUCCAGCGUCUAUGGCCAGCAGCUCUACUGUGUCAGGAGUUACUAGAGGGUCGCUGCAGUGGAUGAUCACAGAAGAAAGUCUACAGUAAGUCCCCUACACACGAACCUUCAAGUUGCGAACUUUCAAAGAUGUGAACGUGCAUUCGCAUGUCUAAUCACGUAUGGCGUGAGUGAAACUGCAGCUUGCCCUCUGUCUCCUAUCGUUGACGAUCCUUCAGCUCUACCAUCUCCCACCUUCUCUCCCUCCUCCAGUCAGUAACUCUUCUUGCCUGUUCACUCGAUGCCAGCCCCUAUAUGCCAGCUGUUGUAUCAAUACUGUGUUAUUGUACUUUUCAAGGUACUGUACUGUACUGUAAGAUUAAAAAUGUUUUCUUUA